rnacentral:rRNA from 1 species
UACGGAGGGUCCAAGCGUUAUCCGGAAUCAUUGGGUUUAAAGGGUCCGUAGGCGGUUUUGUAAGUCAGUGGUGAAAGCCCAUCGCUCAACGGUGGAACGGCCACUGAUACUGCAAGACUUGAAUUAUUAGGAAGUAACUAGAAUAUGUAGUGUAGCGGUGAAAUGCUUAGAGAUUACAUGGAAUACCAAUUGCGAAGGCAGGUUACUACUAAUGGAUUGACGCUGAUGGACGAAAGCGUGGGUAGCGAACAGG